GACGAACACUGGCGGCGUGCCUAAUACAUGCAAGUCGAACGCGUCUUGGUUAUUGAUGUUAAGUGCUUGCAUUUAACUGAUUUAACAUUGAGACGAGUGGCGAACUGGUGAGUAACACGUGGGUAACCUGCCCUUGAAGUAGGGGAUAACACUUGGAAACAGGUGCUAAUACCGUAUAACAACCAAAACCACCUGGUUUUGGUUUAAAAGAUGGCUUCGGCUAUCACUUUAGGAUGGACCCGCGGCGUAUUAGCUUGUUGGUAAGGUAACGGCCUACCAAGGCAAUGAUACGUAGCCGACCUGAGAGGGUAAUCGGCCACAUUGGGACUGAGACACGGCCCAAACUCCUACGGGAGGCAGCAGUAGGGAAUCUUCCACAAUGGACGAAAGUCUGAUGGAGCAACGCCGCGUGAGUGAUGAAGGGUUUCGGCUCGUAAAACUCUGUUGUUGGAGAAGAACAGGUGUGAGAGUAACU
rnacentral:rRNA from 1 species